rnacentral:rRNA from 1 species
UUGAAGCCUUCAGCAGCGACUGUAAAGAAAUGCGUAGUUUGCUUGCAAGCAAUGCCACUCAAAUGCUGAGACAUCUGAAUCAGCAGCCUUCUAGACUCACAGAUCAAAUUGUGGUAACCAUUCUUAUGGGCAAGAUAUGACCGGUCUUAACUAGAGUUAGUUAAGAAUCCACGUUCCGUAGGUGAACCUGCGGAAGGAUCAUUAAAGAAUGCCCCGUUUUUUGAAAUGGGUUCUAUUCCCAAACCGUGUAUACAUACCUUUGUUGCUUUGGCAGGCCGCCUUCGGGCGUCGGCUCACGCUGACCGCGCUUGCCAGAGGACCCAAACUCGUUUGUUUAGUGAUGUCUGAGUACUAUAUAAUAGUUAAAACUUUCAACAACGGAUCUCUUGNUUCUGGCAUCGAUGAAGAACGCAGCGAAAUGCGAUAAGUAAUGUGAAUUGCAGAAUUCAGUGAAUCAUCGAAUCUUUGAACGCACAUUGCGCCCCUUGGUAUUCCGAGGGGCAUGNCUGUUCGAGCGUCAUUAUGACCACUCAAGCCUAGCUUNGNAUUGGGGNNCGCAAUCUCGCGGCCUUUAAAAUCAGUGGCGGUGCCAUCUGGCUCUAAGCGUAGUAAUUUAUCUCGCUAUUGGGUCCGGUGGUUGCUUGCCAACAANCCCCAACUUCUAAGGUUGACCUCGGAUCAGGUANGGAUACCCGCUGAACUUAAGCAUAUCAAUAAGCGGAGGAAAAGAAACCANCAGGGAUUGCCUCAGUAACGGCGAGUGAAGCGGCAACAGCUCAAAUUUGAAAUCUGGCUCUUUUAGGGUCCGAGUUGUAAUUUGUAGAAGAUGCUUUGGGUGUAGCUCCGGUCUAAGUUCCUUGGAACAGGACGUCAUAGAGGGUGAGAAUCCCGUAUGUGACUGGGUGCUUUCGCUCGUGUAAAGCUCUUUCGACGAGUCGAGUUGUUUGGGAAUGCAGCUCAAAAUGGGUGGUAAAUUUCAUCUAAAGCUAAAUAUUGGCCAGAGACCGAUAGCGCACAAGUAGAGUGAUCGAAAGAUGAAAAGCACUUUGGAAAGAGAGUUAAACAGUACGUGAAAUUGUUGAAAGGGAAGCGCUUGCAACCAGACUUGCGCGCUGUUGAUCAUCCGAGCUUCUGCCCGGUGCACUCGACAGCGUUCAGGCCAGCAUCGGUUUUGGUGGGCGGAUAAAGGCCUUGGGAAUGUAGCUUCUUUCGGGGAGUGUUAUAGCCCUCGGUGCAAUGCGCCCUACCGGGACCGAGGACCGCGCUUCGGCUAGGAUGCUGGCGUAAUGGUUGUAAGCGACC